rnacentral:rRNA from 1 species
CGCGGCCUAUCAGCUUGUUGGUGAGGUAAUGGCUCACCAAGGCGACGACGGGUAGCCGGCCUGAGAGGGUGACCGGCCACACUGGGACUGAGACACGGCCCAGACUCCUACGGGAGGCAGCAGUGGGGAAUAUUGCACAAUGGGCGAAAGCCUGAUGCAGCGACGCCGCGUGAGGGAUGACGGCCUUCGGGUUGUAAACCUCUUUCAGUAGGGAAGAAGCCCCUUUUGGGGGUGACGGUACUUGCAGAAGAAGCGCCGGCUAACCACGUGCCAGCAGCCGCGGUAAUACGUAGGGCGCAAGCGUUAUCCGGAAUUAUUGGGCGUAAAGAGCUCGUAGGCGGUUUGUCGCGUCUGCCGUGAAAGUCCGAGGCUCAACCUCGGAUCUGCGGUGGGUACGGGCAGACUAGAGUGAUGUAGGGGAGACUGGAAUUCCUGGUGUAGCGGUGAAAUGCGCAGAUAUCAGGAGGAACACCGAUGGCGAAGGCAGGUCUCUGGGCAUUUACUGACGCUGAGGAGCGAAAGCAUGGGGAGCGAACAGGAUUAGAUACCCUGGUAGUCCAUGCCGUAAACGUUGGGCACUAGGUGUGGGGGACAUUCCACGUUUUCCGCGCCGUAGCUAACGCAUUAAGUGCCCCGCCUGGGGAGUACGG